UUCGGAGUAAAGUCAAUGAAGACAUUCAUGGAAUCAUAAAUGUGUAAGUGUAUUUACUUUAUUACUUCUUAUUUAACUUUCUUGUCUUCUAAUGUUUCAAAAUAUUUAGAGGGUUGAAGACAUGGCAAGCGAAACACGAUCUACAACGCUAUCGAUCAACUCCAAAAUGGAGACCUGUAAAGUGCCCUCGUCAAUUGGAUUCUGUAGGGUGCGGGUACUACGUGCAAAAGUACAUACAUGAGAUAGUGCAUAAUUCUAGUACUUCUAUUACUAACCUUUUCAAUACCAAAAAUGCAUAUAGCCAAGAGGAGAUUGAUGAGAUUCGAACUGAAUGGGCAGCUUUUGUUAGCAGAUUUGUGUAAGUAGUUGCUUUUUGUAGUUAGGUUAGUAGUUGAUUUUUGUAGUUAGGUUAGUAGUUGAUUUUUGUAGUUAGGUUAGUAGUUGGUCGAGUUAAGUUUUUGUAGGGGACGACAGUCCUA